rnacentral:rRNA from 1 species
CUGGCUCAGGAUGAACGCUGGCGGCGUGCUUAACACAUGCAAGUCGAACGAUGAUCUCCAGCUUGCUGGGGGGAUUAGUGGCGAACGGGUGAGUAACACGUGAGUAACCUGCCCUUAACUCUGGGAUAAGCCUGGGAAACUGGGUCUAAUACCGGAUAUGACUCCUCAUCGCAUGGUGGGGGGUGGAAAGCUUUUUGUGGUUUUGGAUGGACUCGCGGCCUAUCAGCUUGUUGGUGAGGUAAUGGCUCACCAAGGCGACGACGGGUAGCCGGCCUGAGAGGGUGACCGGCCACACUGGGACUGAGACACGGCCCAGACUCCUACGGGAGGCAGCAGUGGGGAAUAUUGCACAAUGGGCGCAAGCCUGAUGCAGCGACGCCGCGUGAGGGAUGACGGCCUUCGGGUUGUAAACCUCUUUCAGUAGGGAAGAAGCGAAAGU